rnacentral:rRNA from 1 species
CCCCAGCCAGGUGCCGGCUAUCCCGCGGCUCCCCCUGUUGGUUAAGGGCGCCCCCAGCAGCCUCCGUCCCCUCUGGAACCCUAGCCCCCAAAUCCCACAUCUCCCUCUCCCUCGCCCACUCUCUUCGCCCCGCGCGGGAUCGCCGCGUCACCACCGCUGCGUCGUCGUCACCACGACCAACGAGCUCUCCGCCGCGGGAGAACCUACCAGGAGCCCCGCGUCGUUCGUCCACACCGUCCUCGCUCGCAAGCCCGAGCCGCGGAGGUCGUCAUCGCCCGAUCGGGCAUCUUCCCCUGUUUCGGUCGCCGCCGUCCCGCCGCGUGGAGCCUCCCCGAGAAUACCAUCCGCCCCCUGGCUUCGAGACCGUUGCCGAUACCCCUGUGAUCGGCUACAUCGACGAUGACCCCUCUCUCUUGUCAGAGCAACCAGAUGAUGGAGUCCAGGAGCCAGAGGAUCCCGAGGAUGAUUCUACGUGGAGUUCGACUUCCAGGAGUAGUUUAGGAGGAUCCCAGGCAGGAGGCCUGCGCCUCUUUCGAUCUGUAUCCCAGUUUGUGCUAGCCUUUUUAAGGCAAACUUGUUUAACUUAUGUCUGUACUCAGAUAUUGUUGCUUCCGCUGACUCGUCUAUGAUCGAGCUCUUGUAUUCGAGCCCUCGAGGCCCCUGGCUUGUAAUAUGAUGCUUGU